rnacentral:rRNA from 1 species
CCGCGGGAUUAGAGUUUGAUCCUGGCUCAGAGCGAACGCUGGCGGCGUGCUUAACACAUGCAAGUCGAACGCGCAGCAUUCUGUAGCAAUACAGGGUGUGGGCGCGUGGCGAACGGGUGCGUAACACGUGGAUAACCUUCCUUGAGGUGGGGAAUAACCCAGUGAAAAUUGGGCUAAUACCGCAUAACAUCGCGAUGGCACAUGCUGAUGCGAUCAAAGGCGCAAGUCGCCACAAGAGGGAUCCGCGGCCGAUUAGCUUGUUGGCGAGGUAAUGGCUCACCAAGGCAAUGAUCGGUAGCCGGACUGAGAGGUUGGCCGGCCACACUGGAACUGAGACACGGUCCAGACUCCUACGGGAGGCAGCAGUGGGGAAUCUUGCACAAUGGACGAAAGUCUGAUGCAGCAACGCCGCGUGGGGGAUGAAGCUUCUCGGAGUGUAAACCCCUUUCGACCCGGAAGAAUGCCCGCAAGGGUAUGACGGUACGGGUAUAAGAAGCCCCGGCUAACUACGUGCCAGCAGCCGCGGUAAUACGUAGGGGGCCAGCGUUGCUCGGAAUUACUGGGCGUAAAGGGUCCGUAGGCGGUGUAGCAAGUCGAUAGUGAAAUCUCUGGGCUUAACCCAGAGGCUGCUAACGAAACUGCUGUGCUAGAGUGUGAGAGAGGCGAGUGGAAUUACGGGUGUAGCGGUGAAAUGCGUAGAUAUCCGUAGGAACAUCCGAGGCGAAGGCGGCUCGCUGGAUCACAACUGACGCUGAGGGACGAAAGCUAGGGGAGCAAACAGGAUUAGAUACCCUGGUAGUCCUAGCCCUAAACCAUCAGGACUUGGGGUUUGCCCUGUACGGGGCAAGUCCCGUAGCUAACGCGUUAAGUCCUGCGCCUGGGGAGUACGGU